GGGUCUCUACGGCAGCGUCAUUGUGACCGGCGGCAACACCCUGCUCCAGGGCUUCACCGACCGGCUGAACCGCGAGUUGUCGCAGAAAACGCCCCCCAGCAUGCGCCUCAAACUCAUCGCCAGCAACAGCACCAUGGAGCGGAGAUUCAGCCCCUGGAUUGGGGGGUCGAUCCUCGCCUCGCUGGGCACCUUCCAGCAGAUGUGGAUCUCCAAGCAGGAGUACGAGGAGGGCGGGAAGCAGUGCGUGGAGCGGAAGUGCCCCUGAUGCCGCCGGCGCCCCCUGGCGGCGGGGCUGGGGGCCCCAGGGGCAUCUGCCCUGGGGGUCCCCCACCCCACCCCUCUGCAGCCGGUCCCCAAGUUGCGUUUCCAACCAUUGUGCUCACAACACCUGUGGUGGGGGGAGAGGGUCCAAUCCCCCCGUCACAGCCCCCCAUGGGCUGUGCCGUUCCCCCCCACCCCCCACCCGGGUGCCCCUUGCUAGCUCGUUCCGUGGUUCGUUAAUUGGGUCGGUUCAUUUUCAUGGGUGCGAAUGUGGACAAUGGC